UUGUUUGCGCAGUGGCAGUAUCGUAGCCAAUGAGGUUAAUCCGAGGCGCGAUUAUUGCUAAUUGAAAAUUUCUCAGGGUUGGCAAAGGGGUAACUAAGAUUACUCUUUGUGAUACAAGCAAUAUGUUGU
rnacentral:snRNA from 1 species